GAGAGAUGGCUGAGCUGGUCUAAGGCGCACGACUGGAAAUCGUGUGUUCCCCUUAAAGGAACCGAGGGUUCGAAUCCCUCUCUCUCC
rnacentral:tRNA from 1 species